UACAGAGGUCCCGAGCGUUGUUCGGAUUUACUGGGCGUAAAGGGCGCGUAGGCGGCGUGGUAAGUCACUUGUGAAAUCUCUGAGCUUAACUCAGAACGGCCAAGUGAUACUGCUGUGCUAGAGUGCAGAAGGGGCAAUCGGAAUUCUUGGUGUAGCGGUGAAAUGCGUAGAUAUCAAGAGGAACACCUGAGGUGAAGACGGGUUGCUGGGCUGACACUGACGCUGAGGCGCGAAAGCCAGGGGAGCAAACGGG
rnacentral:rRNA from 1 species